UUUUUUUUUUUUUUUUUUUUUUUUUUCUGGUGCCUCGUGCUGAGCCCUGCUCUCUGCAGAGCUAACCUAGCCUGUAAACAACUGUACUUCACUGUUCUCUCUGGGUCCUGUACAGUCCAUGCCACCUUUGCCUUAUUAUCCGCGGCUGAGUGCUAAGCUGGCCCCGCUCCGUAGAAUGUGUAGAAAAGCAGCUUUGGGGGGAGUUCAGCUGCGUUUUGAAUCGUGUCUGAGUGCAUGUGAGUAAAAGGUAGAUCUUGUUUCAGUGUAGAACUCUGAAAGGGCAGCUGAUGUUUCUUUCACACAGUAGGAUAGGCUUCAGAUGGUGUUUAUAUAUAUUAUGGAGCCUUACUGGGUUCUUUGCCGCUGAAAGGUGCAUGUGAUUGCUUUGUAUGGAGAAGAAUUUGAUGUCUUUCCUGAGAGCUUUGGAGGUUGGGAUUUUUUUUUUUUAUGACAUUACAUUCUUCCUAUUCAGUAUCUCAAGGAACAGGAUUUUUUUUUUCCAAAAGCAAAAUUUAAAAAGACAGAAGAUAGGCCGCGAAAAUAUUCUGCACUUGGUCAUUCCAGCACUAGGCUGUGCUGUCAACACUGUCAAACCUGAGACAGAAAUCAGCCCAGAGCCUCUGGGACAAAAGUCUACUCUAGGUCCCACUUGGAGGGUGAGUUUUCUGCCUUGUCAUUGAACAAGGCCCACAAUAGAGACAUUUUUGCUAGAACCUGGAAAUGGAACAUAAAACUCACUACAUCAAGGCCUAGUCCAUUUUAUUUUAGCAUCCAUGUGCUAAAGUGAAAAUAAUUUUGAGGGUUUCGCUUUAGCCAAAAAAGAAAAAAGAAAAAGAAAGAAAGGAAAAAAAGUUGUUUUCCUUAGCUUUGCUCAAG
rnacentral:lncRNA from 1 species